GUGGCUGUAGCUCAACGGUAGAGCGCCUGCCUGUGGCGCAGGAGGUCGGGGGUCCAACUCCCCUCAGCCACC
rnacentral:tRNA from 4 species